rnacentral:lncRNA from 13 species
AUGUUAAUUAUCCUGUUUCAGACAUUCCUUUCUAUUGGGGCUGAUGAAGGCUAUCAUCCUUUGGUAUAUUUUAUUUUAUUUUCUCCAGUAGGGACUCGUCUGGAGGCUGAGGUGGAAGAAUCGCUGGAACCCAGCAGGUGGAGUUGCAGUGAGCCGAGAUUGCACCACUGCAUUCCAGCCAGAU